GUCAGCAUGGUGUAGUGGUUUGAGUGUUGGACUAUGACUCUGGAGACCAGGGUUCGAUUCCCCGCUCCAGCA